UACAGAGGGUGCAAGCGUUAAUCGGAAUUACUGGGCGUAAAGCGUGCGUAGGUGGUUUGGUAAGUCAGAUGUGAAAUCCCUGGGCGUCAACCUCGGGAACGUAGCAUUUGUAUACUGUCGGACUCGAGUUCAGUAGAGGGUAGUAGAAUUCCCGGUCGUAGCGGUGAAAUAGCGUAGAUAUCGGGAGGAAUACCAGUGGCGAAGGCGGCUACCUGGACUGAAACUAGACACUGAGGUACGAAAGCGU
rnacentral:rRNA from 1 species